UACGGGCGGAGCGAGCGUUGUUCGGAUUCAUUGGGUGUAAAGGGUGCGAAGGCGGUCGUCUAAGUCGAAGGUGAAAUGUCUACGGCUCAACCGAGGCAUUGCCUCCGAUACUGGACGACUUGAGUGCGGAAGGGGAGCGUGGAAUUCCUGGUGUAGCGGUGAAAUGCGUAGAUAUCAGGAGGAACACCGGUGGCGAAGGCGACGCUCUGGUCCGCAACUGACGCUCAUGCACGAAAGCCAGGGGAGCGAACGGG
rnacentral:rRNA from 1 species